rnacentral:misc_RNA from 1 species
GAUGAAGAACGUAGCGAAAUGCGAUAAGUAAUGUGAACUGCAGAAUUCAGUGAAUCAUCGAAUCUUUGAACGCACCUUGCACCCUUUGGCAUUCCGAAGGGUAUGCUCGUUUGAGUGUCAUUGUACUCUCACACUCUCCGAUCCUAUGGAUUCGGGGAGCGGUGGACUUGGGUGUUGCUGCCUUUCCCUGUGGCUCACCUCAAAUGCGUCAGUGCACCUCUUGGUUGGACAUAGUACGGCGUGAUAAGUGUCUUCGCCGGCACCUCGCAAGAGGGUGGCCGAUCGGGAGCUCUGCGCUUUCAAACCGUCUUCGGACAAUUUCUGACAUCUUGACCUCAAAUCGAGUAGGACUACCCGCUGAACUUAAGCAUAUCAAUAAGCGGAGGA